rnacentral:tRNA from 1 species
GGGCCCGUGGCGCAGAAUGGAUAGCGCGGCGGCCUCCUACUCCGCCGAUAGGGUUCAAGUCCCACCGGGCCCG